AACCUGCGGAAGGAUCAUUAAAAAUAUUAUUACACACUUUUAGGAAAAACAACUGAACCUUUUUUUUCAAUAACACAAUUCAAAAACUUUCAACAACGGAUCUCUUGGUUCUCGCAUCGAUGAAGAACGCAGCGAAUUGCGAUACGUAAUAUGACUUGCAGACGUGAAUCAUUGAAUCUUUGAACGCACAUUGCGCCCCGGGGUAUUCCCCCGGGCAUGCGUGGGUGAGCGAUAUUUACUCUCAAACCUCCGGUUUGGUCCUGCUUCGGCCUAAUAUCAACGGCGCUAGAAUAAGUUUUAGCCCCAGCCUUUUUCCUCACCCUCGUAAGACUACCCGCUGAACUUAAGCAUAUCAAUAAGCGGAGGAAAAGAAACCAACAGGGAUUGCCUCAGUAACGGCGAGUGAAGCGGCAAAAGCUCAAAUUUGAAAUCCCCCGGGAAUUGUAAUUUGAAGAGAUUUGGGUCCGGCCGGCGGGGGUUAAGUCCACUGGAAAGUGGCGCCACAGAGGGUGACAGCCCCGUGAACCCCCUCAACGCCUUUAUCCCAGGUCUCCAAGAGUCGAGUUGUUUGGGAAUGCAGCUCUAAGUGGGUGGUAAAUUCCAUCUAAAGCUAAAUACCGGCGAGAGACCGAUAGCGAACAAGUACAGUGAUGGAAAGAUGAAAAGCACUUUGAAAAGAGAGUGAAAAAGUACGUGAAAUUGUUGAAAGGGAAGGGCUUGCAAGCAGACACUUAACUGGGCCAGCAUCGGGGCGGCGGGGAGCAAAACCACUGGGGAAUGUACCUUUCGAGGAUUAUAACCCCGGUCCUUACUCCCUCACCAUCCCGAGGCCUGCAAUCUAAGGAUGCUGGCGUAAUGGUUGCAAGUCGC
rnacentral:rRNA from 1 species